UACGGGGGGGGCAAGCGUUGUUCGGAAUUACUGGGCGUAAAGGGCUCGUAGGUGGCCAACUAAGUCGGACGUGAAAUCCCUCGGCUUAACCGGGGAACUGCGUCCGAUACUGGUUGGCUUGAGUUUGGGAGAGGGAUGCGGAAUUCCAGGUGUAGCGGUGAAAUGCGUAGAUAUCUGGAGGAACACCGAUGGCGAAGGCGGCAUCCUGGACCAAUACUGACGCUGAGGAGCGAAAGCCAGGGGAGCAAACGGG
rnacentral:rRNA from 1 species